UGGUCUGAGAGGAAGAUCAGCCCCCCUGGGCCUGAGACACGGCCCAGACUCCUACGGGAGGCAGCAGUGGGGAAUAUUGCACAAUGGGGGAAACCCUGAUGCAGCCAUGCCGCGUGUGUGAAGAAGGCCUUCGGGUUGUAAAGCACUUUCAGUUGUGAGGAAAAGUUAGUAGUUAAUACCUGCUAGCCGAGACGUUGACAACAGAAGAAGCACCGGCUAACUCCGUGCCAGCAGCCGCGGUAAUACGGAGGGUGCGAGCGUUAAUCGGAAUUACUGGGCGUAAAGCGCACGCAGGCGGUUUGUUAAGCUAGAUGUGAAAGCCCCGGGCUCAACCUGGGAUGGUCAUUUAGAACUGGCAGACUAGAGUCUUGGAGAGGGGAGUGGAAUUCCAGGUGUAGCGCUGAAAUGCGUAGAUAUCUGGAGGAACAUCAGUGCGAAGGCGACUCCCUGGCCAAGACUGACGCUCAUGUGCGAAAGUGUGGGUAGCGAACAGGAUAANANACCCGGNUAGUCCACACCGUAAACGCUGUCUACAAGCUGUGUGUG
rnacentral:rRNA from 1 species